UGGGGAAUAUUGGACAAUGGGCGAAAGCCUGAUCCAGCCAUGCCGCGUGUGUGAAGAAGGUCUUCGGAUUGUAAAGCACUUUAAGUUGGGAGGAAGGGUUGUAGAUUAAUACUCUGCAAUUUUGACGUUACCGACAGAAUAAGCACCGGCUAACUCUGUGCCAGCAGCCGCGGUAAUACAGAGGGUGCAAGCGUUAAUCGGAAUUACUGGGCGGAAAGCGCGCGUAGGUGGUUUGUUAAGUUGGAUGUGAAAUCCCCGGGCUCAACCUGGGAACUGCAUUCAAAACUGACUGACUAGAGUAUGGUAGAGGGUGGUGGAAUUUCCUGUGUAGCGGUGAAAUGCGUAGAUAUAGGAAGGAACACCAGUGGCGAAGGCGACCACCUGGACUAAUACUGACACUGAGGUGCGAAAGCGUGGGGAGCAAACAGG
rnacentral:rRNA from 1 species